UCCGUAGGGGGCAAGCGUUGUCCGGAAUCAUUGGGCGUAAAGAGCGUGUAGGCGGCCCGGUAAGUCCGCUGUGAAAGUCCAGGGCCCAACCCUGGGAUGCCGGUGGAUACUGUCGGGCUCGAGUCCGGAAGAGGAGUGUGGAAUUCCUGGUGUAGCGGUGAAAUGCGCAGAUAUCAGGAGGAACACCAAUGGCGAAGGCAGCACUCUGGGACGUGACUGACGCUGAGACGCGAAAGCGUGGGGAGCAAACAGG
rnacentral:rRNA from 1 species